AUGGCUCAGAAUCAUCGCGGACGGCGUGCCUAACACAUGCAAGUCGAACGAGAAAGUGGGGGCAACUCCAUGAGUAAAGUGGCAGACGGGUGAGUAACACGUGAACAACCUACCCUCGAGUGUGGAAUAACACCGCGAAAGCGGUGCUAAUACCGCAUAACAUCUUUAGGUCGCAUGAUCUGAAGAUCAAAAGCGCAGGUUGCUUGAGGAGGGGUUCGCGCCUGAUUAUCUAGUUGGUGAGGUAACGGCCCACCAAGGCAACGAUCAGUAGCCGGCCUGAGAGGGCGAACGGCCACACUGGAACUGAGACACGGUCCAGACUCCUACGGGAGGCAGCAGUGGGGAAUUUUGCGCAAUGGGCGAAAGCCUGACGCAGCAACGCCGCGUGGAGGAUGAAGGCCUUCGGGUCGUAAACUCCUGUCGAUGGGGAAGAAUGCUUCGCAAGAAGUUUGACUGUACCCGUUGAGGAAGCCACGGCUAACUCCGUGCCAGCAGCCGCGGUAAUACGGAGGUGGCAAGCGUUGUUCGGAAUUACUGGGCGUAAAGGGCGCGUAGGCGGCUUUGCAAGUCAGAUGUGAAAGCCCCGGGCUUAACCCGGGAAUUGCAUCUGAAACUGCUUUGCUUGAGUCCUGGAUGGGGUAGUGGAAUUCCCAGUGUAGCGGUGAAAUGCGUAGAUAUUGGGAGGAACACCUGCGGCGAAGGCGGCUACCUGGACAGUGACUGACGUUGAGGCGCGAAAGCUAGGGGAGCGAACGGGAUUAGAUACCCCGGUAGUCCUAGCUGUAAACGAUGGGCACUUGGUGUUGGGGGUAUUGAGUCCCUCGGUGCCGGAGUUAACACGUUAAGUGCCCCGCCUGGGGAGUACGGUCGCAAGACUGAAACUCAAAG
rnacentral:rRNA from 1 species